AGAGUUUGAUCAUGGCUCAGAAUCAACGCUGGCGGCGUGCCUAACACAUGCAAGUCGAACGAGAAAGUGGAGCAAUCCAUGAGUAAAGUGGCGAACGGGUGAGUAACGCGUAGGAAACCUGCCUUCGAGUGGGGGAUAACAUUCCUAACGGGAUGCUAAUACCGCAUGAAACUGAGAGGUCGCAUGGCCUCACAGUCAAAGGUGGCCUCUAUUUAUAAGCUACCGCUCAAAGAUGGUCCUGCGUCCCAUUAGCUAGUUGGUGGGGUAACGGCUCACCAAGGCUCCGAUGGGUAGCCGAUCUGAGAGGAUGACCGGCCACGCUGGGACUGAGAUACGGCCCAGACUCCUACGGGAGGCAGCAGUCGAGAGGCUUCGGCAAUGGGGGAAACCCUGACCGAGCGACGCCGCGUGGAGGAUGAAGGCCUUUGGGUUGUAAACUCCUGUCAUGAGGGAAGAAACGUCACCGUUCGAAUAGGGCGGUGAUCUGACGGUACCUCAAGAGGAAGCUCCGGCUAACUCCGUGCCAGCCGCCGCGGUAAUUC
rnacentral:rRNA from 1 species